rnacentral:rRNA from 1 species
UACGGGGGGAGCAAGCGUUGUUCGGAUUUACUGGGCGUAAAGGGCGCGUAGGCGGUCAGCACAAGUCAGUUGUGAAAUCUCCGGGCUUAACUCGGAAAGGUCAACUGAUACUGUGCGACUAGGGUGCAGAAGGGGCAACUGGAAUUCUCGGUGUAGCGGUGAAAUGCGUAGAUAUCGAGAGGAACACCUGCGGCGAAGGCGGGUUGCUGGGCUGACACUGACGCUGAUGCGCGAAAGCUAGGGUAGCAAACGGG